UGGACUCUGGGAUACCCCCCGGUGACGGGGGUGAAUACCGGAGGUGACCACUCUAGGCAUCGAGUGGUGGUGGAAAGUUUUUCGGUCCAGGAUGUGCUCGCGGCCUAUCAGCUUGUUGGUGAGGUAAUGGCUCACCAAGGCUUUGACGGGUAGCCGGCCUGAGAGGGUGACCGGUCACACUGGGACUGAGACACGGCCCAGACUCCUACGGGAGGCAGCAGUGGGGAAUAUUGGACAAUGGGCGGAAGCCUGAUCCAGCAACGCCGCGUGAGGGAUGACGGCCUUCGGGUUGUAAACCUCUUUCAGUACCGACGAAGCGAAAGUGACGGUAGGUACAGAAGAAGGACCGGCCAACUACGUGCCAGCAGCCGCGGUAAUACGUAGGGUCCGAGCGUUGUCCGGAAUUAUUGGGCGUAAAGGGCUCGUAGGCGGUUUGUCGCGUCGGGAGUGAAAACAGCGGGCUUAACUCGUUGCUUGCUUUCGAUACGGGCAGACUAGAGGUAUGCAGGGGAGAAUGGAAUUCCUGGUGUAGCGGUGAAAUGCGCAGAUAUCAGGAGGAACACCGGUGGCGAAGGCGGUUCUCUGGGCAUUACCUGACGCUGAGGAGCGAAAGUGUGGGGAGCGAACAGGAUUAGAUACCCUGGUAGUCCACACCCGUAACGUUGGGCGCUAGGUGUGGG
rnacentral:rRNA from 1 species